UCAGUAACACGUAGUCAACAUGCCCAGGGGACGUGGAUAACCUCGGGAAACUGAGGAUAAACCGCGAUAGGUCAUCACUUCUGGAAUGGGUAAUGACUUAAAUCUAUAUGGCCCCUGGAUUGGACUGCGGCCGAUCAGGCUGUUGGUGAGGUGAAUGGCCCACCAAACCUGUAACCGGUACGGGCUCUGAGAGGAGGAGCCCGAAGAUGGGCACUGAGACAAGGGCCCAGGCCCUAUGGGGCGCAGCAGGCGCGAAACCUCUGCAAUAGGCGAAAGCUUGACAGGGUUACUCUGAGUGAUUUCCGUUAAGGAGAUCUUUUGGCACCUCUAAAAAUGGUGCAGAAUAAGGGGUGGGCAAGUCUGGUGCCAGCAGCCG
rnacentral:rRNA from 1 species